CCUACGGGAGGCAGCAGUGGGGAAUAUUGGGCAAUGGGGGGAACCCUGAUCCAGCCAUGCCGCGUGUGUGAAGAAGGCCCUCGGGUUGUAAAGCACUUUCAGUGAGGAAGAACGCCUGGUGGUUAAUACCCAUCAGGAAAGACAUCACUCACAGAAGAAGCACCGGCUAACUCCGUGCCAGCAGCCGCGGUAAUACGGAGGGUGCGAGCGUUAAUCGGAAUUACUGGGCGUAAAGCGCGCGUAGGUGGCUUGAUAAGCCGGUUGUGAAAGCCCCGGGCUCAACCUGGGAACGGCAUCCGGAACUGUCAAGCUAGAGUGCAGGAGAGGAAGGUAGAAUUCCCGGUGUAGCGGUGAAAUGCGUAGAGAUCGGGAGGAAUACCAGUGGCGAAGGCGGCCUUCUGGACUGACACUGACACUGAGGUGCGAAAGCGUGGGUAGCAAACAGGAUUAGAUACCCCAGUAGUC
rnacentral:rRNA from 1 species